AUGAACGCUGGCGGCGUGCCUAAUACAUGCAAGUCGAGCGAACAGACGAGGAGCUUGCUCCUCUGACGUUAGCGGCGGACGGGUGAGUAACACGUGGAUAACCUACCUAUAAGACUGGGAUAACUUCGGGAAACCGGAGCUAAUACCGGAUAAUAUAUUGAACCGCAUGGUUCAAUAGUGAAAGACGGUUUUGCUGUCACUUAUAGAUGGAUCCGCGCCGCAUUAGCUAGUUGGUAAGGUAACGGCUUACCAAGGCAACGAUGCGUAGCCGACCUGAGAGGGUGAUCGGCCACACUGGAACUGAGACACGGUCCAGACUCCUACGGGAGGCAGCAGUAGGGAAUCUUCCGCAAUGGGCGAAAGCCUGACGGAGCAACGCCGCGCGAGUGAUGAAGGUCUUCGGAUCGUAAAACUCUGUUAUUAGGGAAGAACAAAUGUGUAAGUAACUAUGCACGUCUUGACGGUACCUAAUCAGAAAGCCACGGCUAACUACGU
rnacentral:rRNA from 1 species